UACGAACCGUGCGAACGUUGUUCGGAAUCACUGGGCUUAAAGGGCGCGUAGGCGGGUCGCCGCGUCCGGGGUGAAAACCCAGGGCUCAACCCUGGGCCUGCAUUCGAUACGGGCAGACUAGAGUUCGGUAGGGGAGACUGGAAUUCCUGGUGUAGCGGUGAAAUGCGCAGAUAUCAGGAGGAACACCGGUGGCGAAGGCGGGUCUCUGGGCAGUAACUGACGCUGAGGAGCGAAAGCGUGGGGAGCGAACAGG
rnacentral:rRNA from 1 species